rnacentral:rRNA from 1 species
GACGAACGCUGGCGGCGUGCUUAACACAUGCAAGUCGAACGGAAAGGCCCUGCUUUUGUGGGGUGCUCGAGUGGCGAACGGGUGAGUAACACGUGAGUAACCUGCCCUUGACUUUGGGAUAACUUCAGGAAACUGGGGCUAAUACCGGAUAGGAGCUCCUGCUGCAUGGUGGGGGUUGGAAAGUUUCGGCGGUUGGGGAUGGACUCGCGGCUUAUCAGCUUGUUGGUGGGGUAGUGGCUUACCAAGGCUUUGACGGGUAGCCGGCCUGAGAGGGUGACCGGCCACAUUGGGACUGCGAUACGGCCCAGAAUCCUACGGGAGGCAGCAGUGGGGAAUAGUGCACUAUGGGCGGAAGCCUGAUGCAGCAACGCCGCGUGCGGGAUGACGGCCUUCGGGUUGUAAACCGCUUUCGCCUGUGACGAAGCGUGAGUGACGGUAAUGGGUAAAGAAGCACCGGCUAACUACGUG